rnacentral:rRNA from 1 species
CGCGUAGGCGGUUUCUUAAGUCAGAUGUGAAAGCCCGGGGCUUAACCCCGGAAGUGCAUUUGAAACUAAGGGACUUGAGUAUGGGAGAGGGAAGUGGAAUUCCUGGUGUAGCGGUGAAAUGCGUAGAUAUCAGGAGGAACACCGGUGGCGAAGGCGACUUCCUGGACCAAUACUGACGCUGAGGCGCGAAGGCGUGGGGAGCAAACA